rnacentral:rRNA from 1 species
UGGGGAAUUUUGGACAAUGGGCGCAAGCCUGAUCCAGCCAUGCCGCGUGCGGGAAGAAGGCCUUCGGGUUGUAAACCGCUUUUGUCAGGGAAGAAAUCUUCUGAGUUAAUACCUCGGGGAGGAUGACGGUACCUGAAGAAUAAGCACCGGCUAACUACGUGCCAGCAGCCGCGGUAAUACGUAGGGUGCAAGCGUUAAUCGGAAUUACUGGGCGUAAAGCGUGCGCAGGCGGUUUUGUAAGACAGAGGUGAAAUCCCCGGGCUCAACCUGGGAACUGCCUUUGUGACUGCAAGGCUUGAGUGCGGCAGAGGGGGGAUGGAAUUCCGCGUGUAGCAGUGAAAUGCGUAGAUAUGCGGAGGAACACCGAUGGCGAAGGCAAUCCCCUGGGCCUGCACUGACGCUCAUGCACGAAAGCGUGGGGAGCAAACAGGAUUAGAUAGCCCUGGUAGUCCACGCCCUAAAACCGAUGUCAACUGGUUGUUGGGAAGGUUCCUUCUCAGUAACGUAGCUAACGCGUGAAGUUGACCGCCUGGGGAGUACGGCCGCAA